rnacentral:rRNA from 1 species
AAGGAGCUUGCUCCUUUGACGUUAGCGGCGGACGGGUGAGUAACACGUGGGCAACCUACCCUAUAGUUUGGGAUAACUCCGGGAAACCGGGGCUAAUACCGAAUAAUCUCUUUUGCUUCAUGGUGAAAGACUGAAAGACGGUUUCGGCUGUCGCUAUAGGAUGGGCCCGCGGCGCAUUAGCUAGUUGGUGAGGUAACGGCUCACCAAGGCGACGAUGCGUAGCCGACCUGAGAGGGUGAUCGGCCACACUGGGACUGAGACACGGCCCAGACUCCUACGGGAGGCAGCAGUAGGGAAUCUUCCACAAUGGGCGAAAGCCUGAUGGAGCAACGCCGCGUGAGUGAAGAAGGUUUUCGGAUCGUAAAACUCUGUUGUAAGGGAAGAACAAGUACAGUAGUAACUGGCUGUACCUUGACGGUACCUUAUUAGAAAGCCACGGCUAACUACGUGCCAGCAGCCGCGGUAAUACGUAGGUGGCAAGCGUUGUCCGGAAUUAUUGGGCGUAAAGCGCGCGCAGGCGGUCCUUUAAGUCUGAUGUGAAAGCCCACGGCUCAACCGUGGAGGGUCAUUGGAAACUGGGGGACUUGAGUGCAGAAGAGGAAAGUGGAAUUCCAAGUGUAGCGGUGAAAUGCGUAGAGAUUUGGAGGAACACCAGUGGCGAAGGCGAC